AUGCUGGUGCUUCUGCAAGAGCUGGUAUUAUCGUCCAGCAUGAUCGUCAUCUUCAGACCCGGGAAGACGCGAGCCGUCACGGACCAGGUGCCGGGCCUGCUGUCGCACAGUUCGCGAAAUUUCCGACGUUCAUGGCAAUACUUCCUUCGGACCUUUCCAGCCUUCUGUACACCUUCAUUUUGCUUCCGCCCUCCUGCAAGGCAUGCAAGGCAUGCGAUCCUGCCCUGGCUUCACUGCGGAGGGAAGGGGUUUGACCCAAAGCUGCUGGGAAGGAGGCACCCUGCCAGUACGAACUCACCUCCGUCAAAGACCUGCGAACUACUGAAGAAUUUCCACGGGGAAAUUGGCUACCCAGCCAGGACAUGCUCACCUCUGAUGAAGACCAGUGGACAGGGCCAGUUCAGACUCCGUAGGGCACUCAAAUGAGCUCCUGGCAAGCUGGAUGUGAAAGACAAGGCUCAUUCCACUCUAAUCCCACUGGGCUUCUGUAGUUCCUCAAUCAUGUCCACACCCGGCUCCAGCCUCAGGGCCUUUUCACUGCUGGUUUCCUCUUCCUAAUAAGCAACUUCUCUAGGUUUCCCCCUGACACCCAUUUCUUUCAAGCCUAUGUUUAUUUUUUUUCAAGCCUAUAUUUAAAUGCUACCUUCUCCGCGGACCUUCCCUGACCAUCCUCUUUUAAACCCAUCAAUCUUUAUUUUCCUUUCCUGCCAUAUUCUCCUCCAGAGCGUUUAUCACGAACAUAGCCUCUAUUUUGCCUGCUGAUUUUAUCAUCUAUCACUCCCCAGCCACCAACUAGAAUGUAAGCUCCGGAAGGCAGAGUUUUGCCUGCCUGGUUCACUACUGGGUCUCCCACACCCUAAACGGUGCCUGGCACAGAGCAGGUGUGCCCGACAUGUUUGUUGAAUAAGUAGCGAAGAAAUGGGUAUUUCUGCGGACUGAGUAAUUGGACCGAAGGGAGGUUCCUCUUGCACCUCCGCUGGGGGGUGUUGCAUGGUGGUUGCAGACUGCUGGAGAAAUCGCUGGGAAACUCCUCUGCUUGGUUUCCAAGCCCCUGAUCCCUUGACUCCGGCCUCUGUCUUCUUUCAGAGAGGACCCAGUAGGGAGAGCCGUCCCUAGAGGGGAAGGAGGCAGUAUGGACUUGGGGUCCCUGGUCAGCUUUGUUGCUGUUUCUCCCACAGCUUUGGUGGUAGCCUCCCUGCCCCUGGGACCCCAGGCUGUGUGGUUACUGAGCGACUCAGCAUCCCAGAGCCCCCCCCCCCCCAUUCCCAAGCUCUAUAUCCUACUAAGGGGCACUGAUCGUGGGUGUGGGAUUUGGGGGAUUUGUCUUUAUAGAUAUCAGUUUAAUACGUUGGAAUUCAGAAGAAAUAGCCCAAGUCAACUCAGAAAUGCCUGGGGACAAACUUGCCAGCCUGCUGUGUUCGCUGCUGCCGUAUGGUCCUCUCUAUAUGGCGUGGGAGAGGGGUGUUAGGAAGGGAAGAACUGGUUCCCCACCAAAGACCAUUUUUCACUCUCUCAGAAUCUUAGCAAAAGGUCCCUGCAGCUCCGGUUGGAGCCCAUUUCUCUCUGUCUUUCCUCAGUGAUAGGAACAUAAUUGGUUCCCAUCAUCCUCAAUGUAGAUAAUCUCUCUAGAGUGAACAAUUGCUCCACCUCAGAAGAUGCUGCUGGGUGGAGACACAGACAAAUUCCAGAACUAUGCGGAUAGAUUCUAUUUAAACUAUUUUGUGUCUUUGUCGGGCUAUGGGCAUCAUGAUUCUAGCAUCUCCCACAUGCUUCCUGCUUAUUCUGGGAUUGGUUCCACCUUCUGUUGUGUUCAUUCACUACCCUUCCCAACAGAAAUGAGACUUGCUCGUGUCCUUCAUCAUGACCCUGGGCUUAUCAAGUGUCUUUGUGUUUUGGGUGGUUUUGUCCAGCUUCCCUUGGCAUCUUGAUGGCGAGGAGCCACAGAAGCAGGGAAAGGACACUUCUGUGCCUCCUCCAAGCUGGGAGGACAGGUGAAGAGGCUACUUACAGUCUUCCCUUGUUGUUCUAAAGUCUCUCACCCAGCCCGUGGGAAGGGAAGGGCAGGCAACAUCUGGCGACUCCACGAACCAUUUCAGAAGAGAAUGUGCCUCUUGCCUUCCCCGUUUGGACGGCUGUAAGAACACCAUACAUUGGAUUGCUUAACCAACAACGGUCUAUUUCUCAGUCUGGAGGCUGGGAGUUCAAGAUCAGUGUGGCAGCAUGGUGAGGUUCUAGUGAGGGAGUCCUUCCUGGUUUCCUCCCAUGGAGGAGAAAGAGGGAGAGAGAGAGAGAGAGAGAGAGAGAGCGAGCCCGUGCAAGAGAGCACAUGCAAAGGAGUGAGGUGGGGUCUUUUCAUCCCUUUAUAAGGGCAUCUUGCUGUCAAGGAGGCUCCUUUCCCAUGACCUCAUCCAAACCUGAUCACCUCCCCAAGACUAAAAUACCCCCAAACCUCAUUACCUCCCAGUCUCCAAAUACCAUCAACUUUGGGGAUUAACCCUUCAACCUACACAUGUUGGAGGACCCACUCAGUGCAUGGCAGCUUCCUGCCCUUAGUUUUUAUCUUCUAAGCUUUCCCAGAAGCUGAAUUCAGUCUUCCUUCCUAUCUUAGACUGAUGGGCUCAGUACCAGCUACCUUUCAGGCCAGUGUGACACUUUCUUUCUGCUCCAUGGUGGGCAUUCUCCAACGGCCGGCGCAACAGAGGGAGACCAGAGGCCUGAAUGGGACAAUAAAUCCAACUGGUUGUUCA
rnacentral:lncRNA from 12 species